ACUCCUACGGGAGGCAGCAGUGGGGAAUAUUGGACAAUGGACCAAAAGUCUGAUCCAGCAAUUCUGUGUGCACGAUGAAGGUCUUCGGAUUGUAAAGUGCUUUCAGUUGGGAAGAAGCAAGUGACGGUACCAACAGAAGAAGCGACGGCUAAAUACGUGCCAGCAGCCGCGGUAAU
rnacentral:rRNA from 1 species